CCAGAUUCUGUGUACAACUUGUUCAGGCUCCUUUCUGGACCAUCAGUCUCUGUCAGUCCAUGAAGGUUGAAACUCUUAUCUCUGUGAAAGCUGGAGUGCAGUCUUCAGGGACCUCUUCCACUGGCUGACCAACAGCAGGAGACUGCCAAACCAACAGAUGGGCUGAGCAGAUUGCCUAAGUCCAAAUGUGAUUGAACACUGAAUAUAUGUUUCCCCAGCUCUAGUUCCAUUGUCCAGUAUGCAAUAUAUACGAUCUUUUCAACCACAGAAUUUUUCCAGGUUUGUGUCUUCUUCAGACAAUGAUCAAAAAAUGACAAGACGAUCAUUCCCCACACAUCAUGCAUCAUAUGCUUCCUAAACCUGGUGGACAUAAGCUGCAAAGAUAGCUAGGCAUUACCUAAAUUAUCUGCAGUCCUUUGACAUGUGAAUCCUGUUCUCACAGGUAAUCCAUUAAAAUAUCAUUUUUCCCUCUGCACAGAGGAAUGUGACAUGGCAGAAAGCACCACGCUCUUUAAUUAUCUGGAUUAAUUCUCCAAGCUAUGGACUAGUUCGGUUAAGUCACACCCUCAAGGUUUUAAGUGUGCCCACAGGCACAGCAAAUAAGACACUGCUAGUUACUCAGUUUUCACUGUAUCCUGGAAAAAUUCCUUGCCACUGCAAUCUAGGGGUCACAGCUAUUGUACUCAGAUCAUUGAUUUUGUAUACUGCUAUAAUAACUAAAGAUACUCUAUUCAGGGCUCAGCACCACAUGAUGAAAACUGGCCUGGGUUGCUAUCAGCUCUUCCUGCGCCCCCCCAGGGAGUUUGUGUCAGUUAGAAAGGUGUUAUUCCAUAAAAUAAAGGGAAGCAAUUUGUUUUUCUAGGAAGUUCAAAGGUCAGAAGGGAAAAUUCAAAUGCAAAAGCUCUUAUCACCAUCUCUUCACUAGAUGCAACUAGUUCUAGUCACAGGCAAGAGAAGAAAUAAUGAAUGAAAGUAACCCCCUUUGGGGGCAUUGGUGCAUCAGGUGCCAGUUACUGAAUUACAGGGCAGACCAAGAUUCAGGUAUGUCAUAUCCUCUGCACAAAAAAACUAGGUCACCUUUUUCACAGAUAUGUGCCAAUUUGAGCAAAGUCUAAUCUAUCAGACAUUACUUAUAAAGGACUCUGACAUUUGCUCGUAUCUAACUUGGUAUCACAACAUAGCUGAUAUCAUCUCAUUAAAAGCAGAGUAGCAUUGAUUGCCAUUAAUGCCCCUGGGUCGAACCAUUUAUUAUUUAGUUAUUGAGCAGAUCUAUAUGGAACAAGAAACUUGUCUUUGCCCCAAGGAUCUUAGUAUAUGUUCUGCUGGAAAAGCAAGUAGUAGAUCUAGAUAUUAUUAAAACCCAUUCCCUGCUACAACAUGAAACAAUUAAGAGCUGGAUUCAGGCUAAAGGUACUGCUGGUUUACUGUUUUAAUGCAGCGAUGCUUAGGAACCUUUGUGGGGGUUUUUUUCUGGUAUUCUUAGUGGAGCUUUACCCUCUUGUCUUCAGAAUAGAAUAAGACAGAGACAGAAAAAGAGCGACGAGUGUAGUGGGAUUUCUCUCUUUGAUGCUGACCAACAGCUGAAGCUGAGAACAAGUUGUGCCAGUGCACUUUUCCAUUGGAACUGGCGGAUUUGCUUUCACAUGAAUGACAGCUCUGCUAGACAGCGCAGGAGAUGAGUGUUUUAAGAGGGACAUGAGCAAAGAAAAGGUAAUAUUUUCAUGCAUAAGGCUGAGAAGGAACUCCUUCAUUAAUGGUCAGCAUGAAAAAAUUGCACAAAAGGGAGAAGAACAGAAAUUCAUAGAUAGAACUAAAUGUGAAGAUGGAGACUGAGAGAAGCAGAGAAACUGGAGGCACAGGGACACAGCAGUGCAGCGGUGGAAAAGAGAGUUACACUCUCUGCAAUGAAUGGGAGCCAGUGGGAAGACUUGAAGAGGAGAGUGGCUUCGUGAUGGAGGACUGAUGAAUCAGAAAAAAAUUUCCUUCUUGCCUUUUGCUGAAUCUAUUUGGCUAAGUAAGGUUUUUGUGCCUUUAGUUGUGCUAUCAGAUAAUCUGUGGAACCUCUGUCACCCCAUAUGCUUACAGAAGAUCCAUGGAGCUUUUUUUGUAUUUUUGGAAGCUGUUUGCCAACAUAAAAUUUUGCAGUGGUUUGUAAAGGCAGCUCAGCAUAAGGAGCAAGAAUCCUUCUGUACCUAAGGGUAGAGCAUUGCAAAGGUGAGUAGCAAGUUCUCAUCUAACACACCACGCACGCAGGCACAAUCUUCCUUUUGCAGCCCAGACAGACUUUACACUCAUGGGUGCUUCUUAGACUGCAAAGACUGGGCAUAGAAAUCAGUCACAGGGCAGAAAGAGAUCUACUUUAAAUAUAUGUCAAUCAAUCCAUUUGCUGUUUGGACUCUGUACAUGGAUUUUUGUGUUAUUUCUUGGCUGUUAAAGUUGGUGCCAGAGUCAAGGCAUUUGUUUUUCUAACACAAUGUUCUAUAUGCGUGAAAGAGGACUUCAAAAGUGGAACAAAGCUCCUGUUGUCAGAACAAAAUCAUAACUUUGCUGAGAACAUAGCUGAACAUGACAGACAUCAGUUACUAAAAAGUACCAUUCUUACUCCUCUAUAUUAAAUAAAAAUCAAAUUUGGAGAACUACUGUCUCAUUAAGCUAUUUUUAAAUGGAAAUUCGAUGACAUCUGCAAA